UACGUAGGGGGCUAGCGUUAUCCGGAAUUACUGGGCGUAAAGGGUGCGUAGGUGGCUUCUUAAGUCAGAGGUGAAAGGCUACGGCUCAACCGUAGUAAGCCUUUGAAACUGGGGAACUUGAGUGCAGGAGAGGAGAGUGGAAUUCCUAGUGUAGCGGUGAAAUGCGUAGAUAUUAGGAGGAACACCAGUUGCGAAGGCGGCUCUCUGGACUGUAACUAACACUGAGGCACGAAAGCGUGGGGAGCAAACAGG
rnacentral:rRNA from 1 species